GAUUCUGGCUCAGGAUGAACGCUAGCUACAGGCUUAACACAUGCAAGUCGAGGGGCAGCAUGAAGUUUGCUUGCAAACUUGAUGGCGACCGGCGCACGGGUGAGUAACGCGUAUCCAACCUUCCCUAUACUAGAGGAUAGCCCGGCGAAAGUCGGAUUAAUACUCUAUGUUCUUCGUAGAAGACAUCUGAAAUGAAGCAAAGGUUUACCGGUAUAGGAUGGGGAUGCGUCUGAUUAGGUUGUUGGCGGGGUAACGGCCCACCAAGCCUACGAUCAGUAGGGGUUCUGAGAGGAAGGUCCCCCACAUUGGAACUGAGACACGGUCCAAACUCCUACGGGAGGCAGCAGUGAGGAAUAUUGGUCAAUGGACGAGAGUCUGAACCAGCCAAGUAAGCGUGCAGGAUGACGGCCCUAUGGGUUGUAAACUGCUUUUAUACAGGGAUAAAGUGACGUACGUGUACGUUUUUGUAGGUACUGUAUGAAUAAGGACCGGCUAAUUCCGUGCCAGCCGCGGC
rnacentral:rRNA from 1 species